rnacentral:rRNA from 1 species
AGUGAACGCUGGCGGUAGGCCUAACACAUGCAAGUCGAACGGCAGCACAGUGAGAGCUUGCUCUUACGGGUGGCGAGUGGCGGACGGGUGAGGAAUACAUCGGAAUCUACUUUUUCGUGGGGGAUAACGUAGGGAAACUUACGCUAAUACCGCAUACGACCUACGGGUGAAAGCAGGGGAUCUUCGGACCUUGCGCGACUGAAUGAGCGGAUGUCGGAUUAGCUAGUUGGAGGGGUUAAGGCCCACCAAGGCGACGAUCCGUAGCUGGUCUCAGAGGAUGAACCGCCACACUGGAACUGAUACUGGGACCAGACUCCUAGAAGAGACAACGGUGGGGAAUAUUAGGCAAUGGGCGAGAGCCUGAUCCAGUAAUACCGCGUAUGUGCAGAAGGCCUUCGGAUUGGAUAGCGAUUUUGUUGUGACAGUAAAGCAGAAGGUUAGGGCCCCGCUUGUCUGACGGUACCAAAAGAAUAAGCACCGGCUAACUUCGUG